AUAAAAUCAUUACUAUUCGCACCGCAUGCUGAACGCCUGGGCCUAACAGUGUAUAACGACUACUGCAAGAGCUGUCACAGUGGUGAGGAUGAGGAGACAAUGUCUCAUCUUCUCUGUCACUGCCCAGCUCUUGUCAUGA